rnacentral:tRNA from 1 species
GCACCAUUAGCUCAGCUGGUAGAGCACCUGACUCUUAAUCAGGGUGUCCUGGGUUCGAGUCCCCGAUGGUGCA